UGGGGAAUAUUGCACAAUGGAGGAAACUCUGAUGCAGCGACGCCGCGUGAGGGAAGAAGGUCUUCGGAUUGUAAACCUCUGUCUUCGGGGACGAUAAUGACGGUACCCGAGGAGGAAGCACCGGCUAACUACGUGCCAGCAGCCGCGGUAAUACGUAGGGUGCUAGCGUUGUCCGGAAUUACUGGGUGUAAAGGGAGCGCAGGCGGGAAGAUAAGUUGGAUGUUUAAUCUACGGGCUCAACCCGUAUCAGCAUUCAAAACUGUUUUUCUUGAGUGGUGCAGAGGUAGGCGGAAUUCCCGGUGUAGCGGUGGAAUGCGUAGAUAUCGGGAGGAACACCAGUGGCGAAGGCGGCCUACUGGGCACUAACUGACGCUGAGGCUCGAAAGCAUGGGUAGCAAACAGG
rnacentral:rRNA from 2 species